rnacentral:rRNA from 1 species
GAUGAACGCUAGCGGCAGGCCUAAUACAUGCAAGUCGAACGAGAUUAAGAGGCUUGCUUCUUAUGAAAAUGGCGCACGGGUGCGUAACGCGUAUGCAACCUACCUUAAUCAGGGGGAUAGCCCGAAGAAAUUCGGAUUAAGACCGCAUAAAAACACAGGAUAGCAUUAUCCAAUGUUCAAAUAUUUAUAGGAUUAAGAUGGGCAUGCGUGUCAUUAGCUAGUUGGCGGGGUAACGGCCCACCAAGGCGACGAUGACUAGGGGAUCUGAGAGGAUGACCCCCCACACUGGUACUGAGACACGGACCAGACUCCUACGGGAGGCAGCAGUAAGGAAUAUUGGUCAAUGGAGGGAACUCUGAACCAGCCAUGCCGCGUGCAGGAAGACAGCCCUCUGGGUCGUAAACUGCUUUUAUUCGGGAAUAAACCUUUCUACGUGUAGGAAGCUGAAUGUACCGAAGGAAUAAGGAUCGGCUAACUCCGUG